rnacentral:rRNA from 1 species
UACGUAGGGGGCAAGCGUUGUCCGGAUUUAUUGGGCGUAAAGAGCGUGUAGGCGGUCUGGUAGGUCCGUUGUGAAAACUCGAGGCUCAACCUCGAGACGCCGAUGGAAACCAUCAGACUAGAGUCCGGAAGAGGAGUGUGGAAUUCCCGGUGUAGCGGUGAAAUGCGCAGAUAUCGGGAAGAACACCCGUGGCGAAGGCGGCACUCUGGGACGGUACUGACGCUGAGACGCGAAAGCGUGGGGAGCGAACAGG